rnacentral:rRNA from 1 species
AACGAACGCUGGCGGCAUGCCAAACACAUGCAAGUCGAACGAGAUCUUCGGGUCUAGUGGCGCACGGGUGCGUAACGCGUGGGAAUCUGCCCUUUGGUUCGGAAUAACAGUUGGAAACGACUGCUAAUGCCGGAUGAUGACGAAAGUCCAAAGAUUUAUCGCCAGAGGAUGAGCCCGCGUAGGAUUAGCUAGUUGGUGUGGUAAAGGCGCACCAAGGCGACGAUCCUUAGCUGGUCUGAGAGGAUGAUCAGCCACACUGGGACUGAGACACGGCCCAGACUCCUACGGGAGGCAGCAGUGGGGAAUAUUGGACAAUGGGCGAAAGCCUGAUCCAGCAAUGCCGCGUGAGUGAUGAAGGCCUUAGGGUUGUAAAGCUCUUUUACCCGGGAUGAUAAUGACAGUACCGGGAGAGUAAGCUCCGGCUAACUCCGUGCCAGCCGCCGCAGUAA